rnacentral:lncRNA from 1 species
AUAUCACCACUUAUCAUCAUUGAGAGGAGAAAAUAUUAGGAUUGAGAUAACAACCACGCUAUAGGGAGACAUCUUCCUAGUAUACAUAAUUAGGUGGUCUUUAGGACAAAAAUUUCCUUGAUAUUUGUCAAACGCUGACACUUUGAACUUUGGGGGCACGAUCAAAUCUGAGACUAAACAUAUAUCACUAGCGUCCUUCAAACCAUAUGAAUUGGCUUCUUCCAUAGCUUUGAUUCUUUUCUCUAUGGCAUUUAUUUCAUCUUGAUCAUGAGGAAUGGUAGAGUGAUUGGGGUUGUCUCGAUCAACUGGGAUCUUCAUAUGAAAAAAAUUUCAAACUAGCUUCCGAGGAUGGUGUAUCGAUUUGGGCCACUAAUUAUAUUCCUUUCUUGGAUCGCUUCAGUCGGGUUCAAUUAUAUCAUCUUUGAAAUCAAUUUUAGUUCAUGGGCACCCUUGGCAAUGAAUAAUGAAAUACAUG